CUCCUUUUGAAGCUUUGUAUGGGUAUAAGCUAGCUCCACUGACAUUUCUACCUUUGGGAACUACUUUAGUAGGUGCUGUGUCUGAUUUUGUUUAGGAGAGGCAGCGUAUGUCUCAAAUUAUUAGGGACAAUUUACUGAUGGCCCAAAAUAUGCUGACAAGAAAAGAUCAGAAAGAAGUUUUGAAGUUGGGGACUGGGUCUAUCUCAGAUUACAGCCAUAUAGGCAGACCUCAUUAGCUAUGCGGAAAAAUUUUAAGUAGGCUGCUAGGUUUUAUGGUCCAUUUCAAGUAAUAACCAAGGUGGGAUCUGUUGCCUGUAGACUUCAGUUGCCUAAUAAGGCCACUAUUCACCCUGUCUUUCAUGUCUCACUUUUGAAAAAGAAGGUUGGGGAAGGGGCUGUUAUUUUCCAAGAUUUGCCCUCUUUUCAAGAUGACGUGAUAGUGGUAGCCCCUGAGCAAGUCUUGCAAGUCGGAACUAAAACCAGGCAGAACCAACAAGUGCUGCAAGGGUUAAUUAAAUGGCUUCACUUGCCUGCAGAAGAGGCUACAUGGGAGGACAAGUCUUUUAUUUAGACUCAAUUUCCUAAAUUUCAAUCUUCUUGGAGACAAGAAGAUUCUAGGAGGGGAGAUAUUGUUACAUAUUUUAGGAGAAAGAAGAGAAAUAAUGA
rnacentral:misc_RNA from 1 species